AUUGAACGCUGGCGGCAGGCCUAACACAUGCAAGUCGAACGAGCGGCGGACGGGUGAGUAAUGUCUGGGGAUCUGCCUGAUGGAGGGGGAUAACUACUGGAAACGGUAGCUAAUACCGCAUACCAUCAGAUGUACCCAUAUGGGAUUAGCUUGUAGGUGCGGUAACGGCUCACCUAGGCGACGAUCCCUCGCUGGUCUGAGAGGAUGAUCAGCCACACUGGGACUGAGACACGGCCCAGACUCCUACGGGAGGCAGCAGUGGGUAAUAUUUCACAAUGGGCGCAAGCCUGAUGCAGCCAUGCCGCGUGUAUGAAGAAGGCCUUCGGGUUGUAAAGUACUUUCAGUCGGGAGGCGUUACCGGCAGAAGAAGCACCGGCUAACUCCGUGCCAGCAGCCGCGGUAAUUC
rnacentral:rRNA from 1 species